rnacentral:rRNA from 1 species
UACAGAGGGUGCAAGCGUUAUCCGGAUUCACUGGGUUUAAAGGGUGCGUAGGUGGGCAGGUAAGUCCGUGGUGAAAUCCCUGAGCUUAACUCGGGAACUGCCAUGGAUACUAUUUGUCUUGAAUAUUGUGGAGGUAAGCGGAAUAUGUCAUGUAGCGGUGAAAUGCUUAGAUAUGACAUAGAACACCAAUUGCGAAGGCAGCUUACUACACAGUUAUUGACACUGAGGCACGAAAGCGUGGGGAUCAAACAGG